UACAGAGGGUGCGAGCGUUAAUCGGAGUUACUGGGCGUAAAGGGCGCGUAGGCGGUCAUACAAGUGGGGUGUGAAAUCCCUGGGCUUAACCCGGGAACUGCAUUCCAGACUGUAUGGCUGGAGUACUGUAGAGGGCAGUGGAAUUUCCGGUGUAGCGGUGAAAUGCGUAGAGAUCGGAAGGAACACCAGUGGCGAAGGCGGCUGUCUGGACAGAUACUGACGCUGAGGCGCGAAAGCGUGGGGAGCAAACAGG
rnacentral:rRNA from 1 species